UCUGGUGGCGAUAGCCAAGUGGUCACACCCGUUCCCAUGCCGAACACGGAAGUUAAGCACUUGAACGCCGAAAGUAGUUGGGGGCUUCCCCCUGUGAGGAUAGGACGAUCCCGCCAGGC
rnacentral:rRNA from 1 species